ACGGAAGGCAGCAGUGGGGAAUAUUGGACAAUGGGGGAAACCCUGAUCCAGCGACGCCGCGUGAGUGAAGAAGUAUUUCGGUAUGUAAAGCUCUAUCAGCAGGGAAGAUAAUGACGGUACCUGACUAAGAAGCCCCGGCUAACUACGUGCCAGCAGCCGCGGUAAUACGUAGGGGGCAAGCGUUAUCCGGAUUUACUGGGUGUAAAGGGAGCGUAGAUGGUCAGGCAAGUCAGAAGUGAAAGCCAGGGGCUCAACCCCUGGAUUGCUUUUGAAACUGUCAGACUGGAGUGCCGGAGAGGUAAGCGGAAUUCCUAGUGUAGCGGUGAAAUGCGUAGAUAUUAGGAGGAACACCAGUGGCGAAGGCGGCUUACUGGACGGUAACUGACAUUGAGGCUCGAAAGCGUGGGGAGCAAACAGGAUUAGAUACCCUGGUA
rnacentral:rRNA from 1 species